rnacentral:rRNA from 1 species
ACGGAAGGCAGCAGUGAGGAAUAUUGGUCAAUGGGCGGAAGCCUGAACCAGCCAAGUCGCGUGAGGGAAGACGGCCCUACGGGUUGUAAACCUCUUCUGCGCGGGGGUAAAGUCGGGGACGGUCCCCGAUUGCAAGUACCGCGCGAAAAAGGAUCGGCUAACUCCGUGCCAGCAGCCGCGGUAAUACGGAGGAUCCGAGUGUUAUCCGGAUUUAUUGGGUUUAAAGGGUGCGCAGGCGGGAUGUCAAGUCAGUGGUGAAGUGGUGCGGCUCAACCGUAGCAUUGCCGUUGAAACUGGCGUCCUUGAGUGCGAAUGAGGUACGCGGAACGUGUCAUGUAGCGGUGAAAUGCAUAGAUAUGACACAGAACACCGAUUGCGGAGGCAGCGUACUGGGACGCGACUGACGCUGAGGCACGAAAGUGCGGGGAUCGAACAGGAUUAGAUACCCUGGUA